AAAGAUGAUCAGGUUGAUAGGUCUGAGGUGGAAGUGUGGCGACACAUGGAGCUGACAGAUACUAAUCGAUCGAGGACUUAACCACAUUU
rnacentral:rRNA from 2 species